GUGAAGCGGCAACAGCUCAAAUUUGAAAUCUGGCUUCGGCCCGAGUUGUAAUUUGCAGAGGAAGCUUUAGGCGCGGCACCAUCUGAGUCCCCUGGAACGGGGCGCCACAGAGGGUGAGAGCCCCGUAUAGAUGGACGCCUAGCCUGUGUAAAGCUCCUUCGACGAGUCGAGUAGUUUGGGAAUGCUGCUCAAAAUGGGAGGUAAAUUUCUUCUAAAGCUAAAUAUUGGCCAGAGACCGAUAGCGCACAAGUAGAGUGAUCGAAAGAUGAAAAGCACUUUGAAAAGAGGGUUAAAUAGCACGUGAAAUUGUUGAAAGGGAAGCGCUUGUGACCAGACUUGCGCCGGGCGGAUCAUCCGGUGUUCUCACCGGUGCACUCCGCCCGGCUCAGGCCAGCAUCGGUUCUCGUGGGGGGAUAAAGGCCCUGGGAACGUAGCUCCUCCGGGAGUGUUAUAGCCCAGGGUGUAAUGCCCUCGCGGGGACCGAGGUUCGCGCAUCUGCAAGGAUGCUGGCGUAAUGGUCAUCAGCGACCCGUCUUGAAACACGGACCAAGGAGUCAAGGUUUUGCGCGAGUGUUUGGGUGUAAAACCCGCACGCGUAAUGAAAGUGAACGUAGGUGAGAGCUUCGGCGCAUCAUCGACCGAUCCUGAUGUUUUCGGAUGGAUUUGAGUAGGAGCGUUAAGCCUUGGACCCGAAAGAUGGUGAACUAUGCUUGGAUAGGGUGAAGCCAGAGGAAACUCUGGUGGAGGCUCGCAGCGGUUCUGACGUGCAAAUCGAUCGUCAAAUCUGAGCAUGGGGCGAAAGACUAAUCG
rnacentral:rRNA from 1 species